rnacentral:rRNA from 1 species
AAUCAACGCUGGCGGCGUGCCUCAGACAUGCAAGUCGAACGAUUAAAGCUCUCUUCGGAGAGUGUAUAGAGUGGCGCACGGGUGAGUAACACGUAAGCAAUCUACCUUUGAGUGGGGAAUAACAAUCGGAAUAGAUUGCUAAUAACCGCAUAAUGCAGCGGCAUCGCAAGAUGACAGUUGUUAAAGGAAGCAAUCCGCUUAAAGAGGAGCUUGCGGCAGAUUAGCUAGUUGGUAAGGU